GAAAGGACAGCUGGUUAAUGCCUCACAAGACAACGUGAAGUCAAAACAUGUGUUUUCAUCCCCUGACCACUGAAAGUGAAAGGCACCAUUCUGGACACAAGAACACAAACGCGUGAAGCAGACAUGUAUCUUCUCUGACAGCACCAUUUCUAUCUCUUCUGGUGGAAAGUUUAUCUGAAAUUCUACCAUUCCAGACUAUAACAUAUUUGAGACUCUCUUUCCUUAUCAUUAAAGAUGGCCUUGGAUGGACUUCCCUGUGGCACAGUGGUUGGGAAUCCGCCUGCCAAUGCAGGGGACACAGGAAGAUCCCACAUGCCGUGGAGCAACGAAACCCGUGAGCCACAACUACUGAGCCUGCGCCCUAGAGCUUGUGAGCCACAACUGCUGAGCCCACGUGCCACAACUACGGAGCCCACGUGCCUAGAGUCCAUGCUCUGCAACAAGAGAGGCCACCGCAAUGAGAAGCCCACGCACUGCAACAAAGAGUAGCCCCUGCUCACCGCAGCUAGAGAAAGCCCGUGUGCAACAACGAAGACCCAACGCAGCCAAAAGGUUUUGAAAUUCAGUCCUCAGAUGAAAUCUCAAGGGGGCAUGUGACAGGGUGGAAAGAGUAAGAAGUUGAGUCAGAGGGACUCUGGCUAUAGCAUUUAGAUUCUAAUGCAGCAAGUCCGGGGCUGGACCCAAGGAGUCUGGAUGUAAGCAGCAUCCCAGGAGAUCCUGAUGCAGUUGGUCCCUGGAGAAAUACGGCCCUAAACAGGAUGCUCCGGAGGGCGUCGUGCUGGUCUCUGGCACACAGUGGCGGGUCCUGGAUUCCUGCAGCCAGAAAUCACCGGGGACUGUGAACCCACUUGCCUGCUGUGGACACCUCCUACAAACCUGAUUCGGAACUUGGAACCCUGGGCUGAUGACCGCGGAGGGCCCCUAUUCCACUGUCUUAGUUUACACCGGGGGAACUGAGGCUCAGAGUCGCACAGGGAGCUGUUCCGAAUUACAAAUCAGCUGCACUGCAUGGCGUGUGGAACUUCCCCAACCAGGGCCACCAGGGAUUGAACCUGUGCCCCCUGCAGUGGAAGCGCAGAGUUUUAACCACUGGACAACCAGGGAAGUCCUGUCCAUGUAAUUCUUGAUGGUUGUGUUUCACUGAAGCCAGUUACAAAGCUCAAGGAGCUGCCUGCCUUUGUGCCAAGGAAAAGUUCAGCCCACGCACGAUCUGGUCCGCGUGAGGGAGCCCUCACUCCAGCCCCACCCCUAACCACCAGAAGACUCCAGUCGCCUCUCCCUGCUUUCUUCAGCUGUUUUUGGACCUUCUUUGGAGCCUGCCCUGCUCUUCCCAGAAAGCCUGAUUAUGUCACGCCACAGGAUGCGGGAUCUUAGUUCCCUGACCAGGGAUUGAACCCGUGCCACCCGCAGUGGAAGUGUGGAGUCCUAACCACGGGACCGCCAGGGAAGUCCCAAAAGUAUUUUUAUAUAUUGAUCUUUAAAUGUUAAUUUCAUUAGUAAUUCUUUUUAAUUGAAGUAUAGUUGAUUUACAAUGUUGUGUUAAUUUCCACUCUACAGCAAAAUGACUCGGUUAUACAUAUAUGUACAUUCUUUUUUAUAUUCUUUUCCAUUAUGGCUUAUCCUAGGACAUUGACUAUAAUUCCCUGUGCUAUACAGUAGGACCUUGUUGUCCAUCCAUUCUCUAUGUAAUGUAGCUACAAUGCCAGAUGUCCAGUUCAGUAUGGGGCCCAGGGAGAGUUAGGCCACGGCACUGGCCCUCAUUUCCACAGCUAGAAGGAGGCCACCCUGGGGCUGGGACUCAGUCUCCCUGGGCCCACACCACCUUGCAGCCAGGGCCGCCUGACUGCCACCCCCAGCCCAUCGCAUUUGCUUGGGUCCCCAUCAGCCAGAGUGGGAAGAGCAUCAUCUCAGCAGAUAAUCCUGCCUGCACUUCCCCAGUCAUGACUCAUCUCAAGACACACCCCUCACUCAGCACAUCCCAGCCCUGCAUUCUUUUCCCUUCUCUGAAUGUGCUAAGUCCCUCCCACCUCAGGGCCUUUCCCCAUGCGGGUCCCCUGCUGGAAAGUUCUUCAGCCUUAGAGGCUGAAUCUCUCUCCAUAGAAAACUGAAAGCUCUAUACAUGUUUCUGAGGAUCAUGUGUCUGUUUUCUCCACAUUUAGUAGUAACUGGUACAGAAUAAGUACCUAGAAAUGGCCCAGGCUUUAGGUGUUCUUUCCCGUCAGCCUGAGUAGAAACUUGUGCAGGGACUCGUGAGCUGGGAAAGCUUCCAACACUGCCAUGCAAUUUUGGAUUUCUCCAGAAAUCCAUGUUAUCUUUGUACCACCACAGAAUGAAAAGCCAAGGGGACACGUUCCUAAGCAACUAUGAAAGUUCUAAAUAGUUGUUUACAAACAAAAGAGACAAGUAGAAUUUCUAUAACAUACUGAAUUUCUGAACAGCACUCAUUUAUUUCUUUCAUACAGUGUCAUUGAAAGACCUCCCUGGAAGAAGAUCCUAUUCACAAAAGCAACCAAAAGUAUAAACUACCGAGGAAUAAACUUAAAAAUAAAUGCUUAAAAAUGAUAUGAAGAAAACUGUAAAACUUUGUCAAGAGACAUGGGAUUUUAAUAAACACGGAAUGAGAAUCAGCAAAAUUAAGAUAUUAAAUUAACCUGUGUGUUUUGCACUAUCCAAGUCAAAAAUCCUAACGUUAACUUUUCUAAGAUGUUUACCAAAUGAUACUAAAGUACAUCUCUAUGAAGAAUAAUAUGCAAAGAUAGCCCAAAAAUUCUGAAAAAGAAAAAUAAUGAAAAGGGGGACAUGGCCCCCUCCAAACAUUAAA